GCGAAUGGAUUAAGAGCUUGCUCUUAUGAAGUUAGCGGCGGACGGGUGAGUAACACGUGGGUAACCUGCCCAUAAGACUGGGAUAACUCCGGGAAACCGGGGCUAAUACCGGAUAACAUUUUGAACCGCAUGGUUCGAAAUUGAAAGGCGGCUUCGGCUGUCACUUAUGGAUGGACCCGCGUCGCAUUAGCUAGUUGGUGAGGUAACGGCUCACCAAGGCAACGAUGCGUAGCCGACCUGAGAGGGUGAUCGGCCACACUGGGACUGAGACACGGCCCAGACUCCUACGGGAGGCAGCAGUAGGGAAUCUUCCGCAAUGGACGAAAGUCUGACGGAGCAACGCCGCGUGAGUGAUGAAGGCUUUCGGGUCGUAAAACUCUGUUGUUAGGGAAGAACAAGUGCUAGUUGAAUAAGCUGGCACCUUGACGGUACCUAACCAGAAAGCCACGGCUAACUACGUGCCAGCAGCCGCGGUAAUACGUAGGUGGCAAGCGUUAUCCGGAAUUAUUGGGCGUAAAGCGCGCGCAGGUGGUUUCUUAAGUCUGAUGUGAAAGCCCACGGCUCAACCGUGGAGGGUCAUUGGAAACUGGGAGACUUGAGUGCAGAAGAGGAAAGUGGAAUUCCAUGUGUAGCGGUGAAAUGCGUAGAGAUAUGGAGGAACACCAGUGGCGAAGGCGACUUUCUGGUCUGUAACUGACACUGAGGCGCGAAAGCGUGGGGGAGCAAACAGGAUUAGAUACCCUGGUAGUCCACGCCGUAA
rnacentral:rRNA from 1 species